rnacentral:rRNA from 1 species
GACGAACGCUGGCGGCGUGCUUAACACAUGCAAGUCGAACGGAAAGGCCCUGCUUUUGUGGGGUGCUCGAGUGGCGAACGGGUGAGUAACACGUGAGUAACCUGCCCUUGACUUUGGGAUAACUUCAGGAAACUGGGGCUAAUACCGGAUAGGAGCUCCUGCUGCAUGGUGGGGGUUGGAAAGUUUCGGCGGUUGGGGAUGGACUCGCGGCUUAUCAGCUUGUUGGUGGGGUAGUGGCUUACCAAGGCUUUGACGGGUAGCCGGCCUGAGAGGAUGACCGGCCACAUUGGGACUGGGAUACGGCCCAGACUCCUACGGGAGGCAGCAGUGGGGAAUAUUGCACAAUGGGCGGAAGCCUGAUGCAGCAACGCCGCGUGCGGGAUGACGGCCUUCGGGUUGUAAACCGCUUUCGCCUGUGACGAAGCGUGAGUGACGGUAAUGGGUAAAGAAGCACCGGCUAACUACGUG